rnacentral:rRNA from 1 species
UUACUGCUUGUGGCUCUUGGGCUGUUGCUGACGAGGACCUUCACGGGUUCUUCGUACGUGCACGUCUGGGGUUGCAGCUUUCUUCGUCCACCUGUGCACACUCUGUAGGUCUGGAUACCCCAUUGGAAGGGUGCGCUUUUUGCGCUCCCUUUGCCUUCCAGGCCUAUGUCUUACAAACACUAUAGUAUGUAACGAAUGUCAUUGAUUAUUGGACUUCACUGUCCUUUAAACUAAAUACAACUUUCAACAACGGAUCUCUUGGCUCUCGCAUCGAUGAAGAACGCAGCGAAAUGCGAUAACUAAUGUGAAUUGCAGAAUUCAGUGAAUCAUCGAGUCUUUGAACGCACCUUGCGCCCUUUGGUACUCCGAAGGGCAUGCCUGUUUGAGUGUCAGUAACUUCUCAACCUCCCUCACUUUGUUGUGAGCUGGCGGAUUGGAUGUGGGGGCUUGCUGGACCUUAUCUUUGGGUUCAGCUCCCCUGAAAUGCAUUAGCAGAAACCGUUACCUUUUGGCGCGCUGCAGCUGUGAUAAUUAUCUACGGCUAUGGCUGGGCUGACUGUGUUGUAGCGCUCGUCUCGUCUCUGAAGUGGUUUCGCCUUAGUUGGUGCUUCCCUUUGCCUUCUCUCUCACGAGAGAUACCUGUGACGCGAGUGCGCGGGCUAUUCCGCUUCUAACCGUCCCCUUGUGGGACAAACUAUUGACCAUUUGACCUCAAAUCAGGUAGGACUACCCGCUGAACUUAAGCAUAUCAAUAAGCGGAGGGAA